AGCAGCCGCGGUAAUUCCAGCUCCAAUAGCGUAUAUUAAAGUUGUUGCAGUUAAAAAGCUCGUAGUUGAAUUUCGGGAUUCUACCGUCGGUCGGGCUAACAAGUCUGUACUGGUGUGUAGAAUUUCUACCUUCUGGGGAACUAUCAUGUUAUUAAUUUAGCGUGGUAGGAAACCAGGACCUUUACCUUGAAAAAAUUAGAGUGUUCAAAGCAGGCUUAAGUCUGAAUACAUUAGCAUGGAAUAAUAGAAUAGGACGGUGGUCCUGUUUUGUUGGUUUCUGAAUCACCGUAAUGAUUAAUAGGGAUAGUUGGGGGCAUUAGUAUUCAAUUGUCAGAGGUGAAAUUCUUGGAUUUAUUGAAGACUAACUUCUGCGAAAGCAUUUGCCAAGGAUGUUUUCAUUAAUCAAGAACGAAAGUUAGGGGAUCGAAGACGAUCAGAUACCGUCGUAGUCUUAACCAUAAACUAUGCCGACUAGGGAUCGGACGAUGUUAAAUUUUAUUGACUCG
rnacentral:rRNA from 1 species